ACAUCAAGAGGUUCUUUCUUAUUCUCAAAUUUUUCAUUUCUCAAAUGUCCAAAUAAUACUCUCUGUUGUUAGAAAAAAAAACCUUUUGAUAUAUGUUCUUCUACCAACAACUCAAGCUUAUCUCUCUGAUCUCCUCAUUCCCCGACCGACUACCAUAGAGACUCAGAGUCAUCACCCUACAAGAUGUUUAUGAAGAACACAAAUGCAAAAGGAUUGUGUAGAGAAAAGGCCGAAAUGGGACAAGUGGUCCGAUCCGAUCCCUCACAUUCAAGAUCCUUUGAGAAGUGCAGGCGGAGAAAUGAUGGAGACACGUUAAGGAACAGAGAAUCUUGCGAACGUGCCAUAUGUUUUGGUUGAGUAUUGGGUGUGUGUGACCAAAUGCUUGUAAUAUUUAAGUGAUGAUUUAGAUGGAUGUGUGACGUAUGUAUGUGUGCAUGGUAAAAGAUGUGUAGGCAUGGUGUCUGACGUAUGCUUGUAUAGAUUAGAUAAAUGUGUAGGAUGUGGAUGUAUGUUUGUAUAGAUUAGAUGAAUGUUUAGGAUGUGGUUGCUUGUAUAAAUUAGAUGAAAGUGUAGGAUGUACGUGGAUAUGUAUGCUUGUCGAUGAAUGUUUAGGAUGUGGAUUUGUACUCUUGUAUAGUAGAUGAAUGUUUAGGAUGUGGAUGCUUGUAUAAAUUACAUGAAUGUUUAGGAUGUGGAUGUGCUUGGAUGAAUUAGAU